UACAGAGGUCCCAAGCGUUGUUCGGAUUCACUGGGCGUAAAGGGUGCGCAGGUGGGCUUGCAAGUUUGAUGUGAAAGCCCCGGGCUUAACCCGGGAAUGGCAUUGAAUACUGCAGAUCUGGAGGAUUGGAGGGGGGACUGGAAUUCUUGGUGUAGCAGUGAAAUGCGUAGAUAUCAAGAGGAACACCAGUGGCGAAGGCGAGUCCCUGGACAAUACCUGACACUGAGGCACGAAAGCUAGGGGAGCAAACAGG
rnacentral:rRNA from 1 species